rnacentral:rRNA from 1 species
UAGCAUAUCAAUAAGCGGAGGAAAAGAAACUAACAAGGAUUCCCCUAGUAACUGCGAGUGAAGCGGGAAAAGCUCAAAUUUAAAAUCUGGCAGUCUUUGGCUGUCCGAGUUGUAAACUAGAGAAGUGCUAUCCGCGCUGGACCGUGUACAAGUCUCCUGGAAUGGAGCGUCAUAGAGGGUGAGAAUCCCGUCUUUGACACGGACUACCAGGGCUUUUGUGAUGUGCUCUCAAAGAGUCGAGUUGUUUGGGAAUGCAGCUCAAAAUGGGUGGUAAAUUCCAUCUAAAGCUAAAUAUUGGCGAGAGACCGAUAGCGAACAAGUACCGUGAGGGAAAGAUGAAAAGAACUUUGGAAAGAGAGUUAAACAGUACGUGAAAUUGCUGAAAGGGAAACGCUUGAAGUCAGUCACGUUGUCCAGGGAUCAACCUUGCUUUUGCUUGGUGCACUUUCUGGUUGACGGGUCAGCAUCAAUUUUGAUCAUUGGAAAAAGGUCAAGGGAAUGUGGCAUCUUAGGAUGUGUUAUAGCCCUUGGUUGCAUACAAUGGUUGGGAUUGAGGAACUCAGCACGCCGCAAGGCCGGGUUUUUAACCACGUACGUGCUUAGGAUGCUGGCAUAAUGGCUUUAAUCGACCCGUCUUGAAACACGGACCAAGGAGUCUAACAUGCCUGCGAGUGUUUGGGUGGAAAACCCGAGCGCGUAAUGAAAGUGAAAGUUGAGAUCCCUAUCGUGGGGAGCAUCGACGCCCGGACCAGACCUUUUGUGACGGUUCCGCGGUAGAGCAUGUAUGUUGGGACCCGAAAGAUGGUGAACUAUGCCUGAAUAGGGUGAAGCCAGAGGAAACUCUGGUGGAGGCUCGUAGCGAUUCUGACGUGCAAAUCGAUCGUCAAAUUUGGGUAUAGGGGCGAAAGACUAAUCGAACCAUC